rnacentral:rRNA from 1 species
UCAAUAAGCGGAGGAAAAGAAACUAACAAGGAUUCCCCCAGUAACGGCGAGUGAAGCGGGAAGAGCUCAAGCUUAAAAUCUCCAUGUUUACAUGGCGAAUUGUAGUCUAUUGAGGCUGUUGUCAGCAUAGCGAUCUGGGAAAAGUCCCUUGGAAAAGGGCAGCAUAGAGGGUGAUACUCCCGUCUCUGCUCAGAUUGUCUGUGUGUACGAUACGCUUUCUUUGAGUCGAGUUGUUUGGGAAUACAGCUCAAAGUAGGUGGUAAAUUCCAUCUAAAGCUAAAUAUUGGUGCGAGACCGAUAGCGAACAAGUACCGUGAGGGAAAGAUGAAAAGAACUUUGAAAAGAGAGUUAAAGAGUACCUGAAACUGUUGAAAGGGAACCGUAUCGUUUCCAGUGUUUAAUCCUAUGCAUAUUUCAUUGGCGGAGUAAUUUGCUGGUGCCCUGUGCAUGGGUGUGACGUCAGAGUCAGUUUGUAUGCUGCGGGAGAUGGUUAGUAAGAAGGUGCGUCACUUCGGUGAAAGUUAUAUCUUGCUAUCUAGUUGCCGUGGUUGAGACUGAGGUGCCUACAACACGCCCUGGGGUUCAGUAGUGUCUCGUUUUGGUGACUGCUUGGAUAGCUUGCUAUGUCUGUGGUUAAUCAGGGCGAUGGAUGCUAUUGAAAACCUCUGCUGUUCGGGACUCUGGCGAAAUGGAGCGAUACGACCCGUC